rnacentral:misc_RNA from 1 species
AGUUCGAUCGUUCUCAGAUUGAACGCUGGCGGGAUGCACACACAUGCAAGUCGAACGGCAGCACGGACUUCAGUCUGGUGGCGAGUGGCGAACGGGUGAGUAAUGUAUCGGAACGUGCCUGGUAGCGGGGGAUAACUACGCGAAAGCGUAGCUAAUGCCACAUACGCCCUUCGGGGAAAGCGGGGGACCUUCGGGCCUCGCACUAUUAGAGCGGCCGAUAUCGGAUUAGCUAGUUGGUGGGGUAACGGCUCACCAAGGCGACGAUCCGUAGCUGGUUUGAGAGGACGACCAGCACUGGGACUGAGACACGGCCCAGACUCCUACAGGAGGCAGCAGUGGGGAAUUUUGGACAAUGGGGAAACCCUGAUCCAGCCAUCCCGCGUGUGCGAUGAAGGCCUUCGGGUUGUAAAGCACUUUUUGGCAGGAAAGAAACGGCACGGGAUAAUACCCGUGCAACUGACGGCUUACCAUGCAGAAUAAGCACCGGCUAACUACGUGCCAGCAGCCGCGGUAAUACGUAGGGUGCAAGCGUUAAUCGGAAUUACUGGG